GACGAACGCUGGCGGCGUGCUUAACACAUGCAAGUCGAACGCUGAAGCUCAGCUUUUGUUGGGUGGAUGAGUGGCGGACGGGUGAGUAACACGUGAGUAACCUGCCCUCUUCUUUGGGAUAACGCCCGGAAACGGGUGCUAAUACUGGAUAUUCACUGAUCUUCGCAUGGGGGUUGGUGGAAAGGUUUGUUCUGGUGGGGGAUGGGCUCGCGGCCUAUCAGCUUGUUGGUGGGGUGAUGGCCUACCAAGGCUUUGACGGGUAGCCGGCCUGAGAGGGUGACCGGUCACAUUGGGACUGAGAUACGGCCCAGACUCCUACGGGAGGCAGCAGUGGGGAAUAUUGCACAAUGGGCGAAAGCCUGAUGCAGCGACGCCGCGUGAGGGAUGGAGGCCUUCGGGUUGUAAACCUCUUUCGCUCAUGGUCAAGCCGCGACUUUGGUUGUGGUGAGGGUAGUGGGUAAAGAAGCGCCGGCUAACUACGUGCCAGCAGCCGCGGUAAUACGUAGGGCGCGAGCGUUGUCCGGAAUUAUUGGGCGUAAAGGGCUUGUAGGCGGUUGGUCGCGUCUGCCGUGAAAUUCUCUGGCUUAACUGGGGGCGUGCGGUGGGUACGGGCUGACUUGAGUGCGGUAGGGGAGACUGGAACUCCUGGUGUAGCGGUGGAAUGCGCAGAUAUCAGGAAGAACACCGGUGGCGAAGGCGGGUCUCUGGGCCGUUACUGACGCUGAGGAGCGAAAGCGUGGGGAGCGAACAGG
rnacentral:rRNA from 1 species